AAACUAUGUCAACGCCAGUGUCUGCAUUUGCUCUUUCACAGUAAUCCGUUGCAACACAUACCAAGUCAAAAUAACGCAUAUGCAGAUUAUUGUCCCUUUCCUUGGCGCUGCUCCACUGGACAGCAGUGAUGAUUCCGCAUCUGUAAUGUAAGGAUACCUUGAGUACAUUGAAGGGACUGGACGGAGCUAGCUGUGCCUCCUUCACUUGGAGAAUCAUCAGAAAUUGUUUGGCUCCAUCCAUCUGUACAACAGAUUUUGCAAUCAUCACUCCCUGAAUUUUAAUGGAAAUAACCUGCAAUGCUACGGGGUGGGGGGGAAAACCAGCAACCAUACUGCAAUUUGGAUAGGUACUCUCUUAAUGAAAAACGGGUGAAUAGUCCGAUCGCGAAAUUUUUUUUUGGAUAGAUACAUUUGGACUGCACCUCUGCCAGAUGUCUUUUGGUCAAGGCUUUGGUCAAAUACUGUCAAGCAUAGAUCGAAACCCAGAUCGAAAUAGACACUCCAAGACGACAAAGGGUCCAAAAUUUCGGCAAAAUUUGCGAAUUUCGGUGGUGGCCGAAAGAAAAAUCCGAAAUUUCAUUAUAUACUAAUACAUGUGCUAUAUAACUUUAGACUCAUAUUUUCUAUUAUUUAUAUUGUAUAUUUUUCUAUUCAAUAGAUGUGUAAUCAUAAAUCAUACUGAUACUUAUUUAGAUCUAUUUUUUAAAAAAAAAACAUACUCUAUGUGCUAGUCUCUAAAAAAAAAUUCGACGAAAUUUCAGUCGAAUUUCGCGAAAUUCAAUAAUUUCGGUGGUUGCCGAAAUUUUUGCGAUAACAAAAUUAAAAACCUUGAUGACAACAAUCCAACUCAACACAGAAACUCUGCAGGGAAAUCGAAGCCGAUUCAGCACCGCACCUCGAGUGUGAUGUGAGGCGAGGCGAGGCGACACACUGUACAUGUAUUCACCUUGUUCGACUCAACCCAGCGCGGUGAGGGAGAAAGCCGGCGUACCGCGGACAGACGGACUCCACCGAGGCGGGCGGAGGGCUACUCGCCGGUGGCAGCGCGGCGAGGAGGCGAGCAGGGACGCUAGCUCGGCCUCCGCCGCUUGGUUCUCUGCGGCACCAAUGGAUCGGACUUGCUCUGACCGCAGCCAUGUCCGCG
rnacentral:lncRNA from 1 species